AUGGCGCCCACGUCCAUGGACGGCAGCAGGCGCGGAAAUUGCCCACUCUCUUUGGGAGGCAGUUAAGAGACGAAAGUAGGAUAAAAGAAUACUAGAUGAUUGGAGGGCAAGGCUGGUGCCAGCAGCCGCGGUAACACCAGCUCCAAGAGUGUCUGUGGUGGAUGCUGCAGUUAAAAAGUCCGUAGUCUUAUCAGCUGGGAUGGUCUUAGAUUGAAUAGGAAUGACCUGCUGGGAAUGGCGGAGCGGACGGAGUACGUAGAAUGCAUGGGCGAGCGAUGGAAUGCCAGGACCCCAUGUGGACUAGCGGAGGCGAAGGCGACGUACGAGUACGGAUCCGAGGAUCAAGGACGAAGGCCGGAGGAGCGAAAGCGAUUAGAGACCGCAGUAGUUCCGGCAGUAAACUAUGCCGACAUAGGAAUACGAUAAGUAGGACUAAAGCGAAAGCUAGUGUUUGGGCUCUGGGGAUAGUAUGCUUGCAAGAGUGAAAACUAAAGAAA
rnacentral:rRNA from 1 species